rnacentral:rRNA from 1 species
UACGUAGGGGGCUAGCGUUGUCCGGAAUUAUUGGGCGUAAAGAGUUCGUAGGCGGUCUGUCGCGUCGGCUGUGAAAUCCCGAGGCUCAACCUCGGGUCUGCAGUCGAUACGGGCAAACUAGAGUAUUGCAGGGGAGACUGGAAUUCCUUGUGUAGCGGUGAAAUGCGCAGAUAUCAGGAGGAACACCGGUGGCGAAGGCGGGUCUCUGGGCAAUAACUGACGCUGAGGAGCGAAAGCGUGGGGAGCGAACAGG